UGGAAUUAUGUGGUUUGGACUAAAUAUUUUUACUGGAUUGGAUCAUCUGGACCUUUGACAAGACCUAAUUCCAAUUUAGAUCCCAAAGAACCUUUGGGACGUUAUGUAUCGGUGCAUCGGACAUUGCCAAGGAGUGCCACAGACUUUCCAGGACUCACUGAUGCCCUGAUCCAGGUUUGGGAGGAGAUCUCCCAGGACACCAUCCGGCGUCUCAUCAGGAGCAUGCCAUGAAGUUGUCGAUGAAGACAUGAAGCUGAAGACGUGCCAAGGGGGGCUGUGAUCGACAAGAGAUCUGAUACAAGUGAUCGAUCUCUCUCUCACUCACUCACACUCACACACACACACACACACACACACACACACACACACACACACACACACACACACACACACACACACACACACACACACACACUUUCUCUCUCUCUCUCUCUCUGUAUUUAAAAUAUUAAUUAAUUUUUGUCCAGAGAGGCAGAAGACAGCAGAAUCUGACCUUCCUCCCGCCCAUAUUUCAUGGAAGCAUGAAUUUAAUUUAGACUUAACUUUGUACUUCUUCCUUUUAAUCUUCAACACUAGAUGAAUACAGGACAGGGGGAUGGAUAUAAAACAAGGAAUGGAGGGAAAGAGAGAAGGAUGAAAAAAGAAGGAAGUGAUGCCUUCAAUCCUUGUUUUUAAGAUACUCAAAUUACAAUAUGUACACAAAUUACAGACUGGAGGCAAGCAUCACAUUGAUUUAGUGCAUCUAAUGCCCAAGAAAUUGAGACAAAACCAAAGCCAAAUACAAACACAAAGCAAACAAGUAUUGUUACUUUGAAAAGGGAAUGUAUGAGAGCAAGAAUAGAGAAAGAAAUAUUUGAUGGUUAGGCUUAGAUCUCUGCCGCACCCUACAUUACUCCUCAUGUAAUCUGAAACCAUAUGUUAAGAACACCGUGACAGGCAUGUUAGAGAGGGAGCAGCACCCACUCGAUAUCAUCUCUGUGAUUCCCAGUCUCAAAUGCAGGGAUGUAUUUAAGUAUAAUAAAGUGGGAGGGGAAGCAAUGGUGAGAGACGAGACGGAUGGGGCACGAAAUGCCUUCGUUGCCGGGUGUAAUGCACCACAGACAAAUAGUGCAGUUUUAUGGCCUGGAGGAGUAGAAAGAGCUUUUAAAUUCAUGCUCACUCUCCAGGAGG